AUUAAGUAAAACUAUUUGUCAUUCUGAUUUGAAGUAGAGUUGAAGUUUUAUUAGUAUUCGAGAAAUUAUUGUAUAAUGUUUUAACUGUUAAGGUCUUUUAUAAAUUCAAUGAGAAUUUUUUUAUAGUACCUUUUGUAUCAGGGUGGGUUAAUUAAUAGAAUUAUUUUAUUUUCCCGAAUUUGAAUGGUCAAACUUUGUAUUAUAUAUUUGUGUCAAAAAAUUUUAUAAUAUUAUGUUAGUAAUUAUAUGUUAGCCGUUUUCUGUAUAUCUGGUUGUUAGGGAGUUUAAAUUCAAUUUUUCACUUUAGCUACUGGAAAUGUAUUAUUCUAUUUAAGUGUAAAUUUAUUGGGGAUAAUCUCAGUAAAUAUAUUAUUACAUAAAAUAGGUUCUUAUUUACUUACUUUUAAAUUUUGUAUUCAGUUUGUAUUAAAUUGAUUAAGUUUAAUAUGAUUUUUUUGUGUAUAUUUUCUUACUUAACUAAUUGGUUUAAUUUCAGAUCUUAUUUAAUAAUGAUUCAAUUAGUAUAAUAAGGUUGGUUAAUCAAAUGAAUUAGACAAAUGCUAUUUCCAACUGUUUAUCAAAAACAUUUCUUUUUGUUUUUAUAAAAAGUACCUUCUGCCCUAUGGAAAGAUUUCUAAAUGGCUGCAGUAUUUUGACUGUGCAAAGGUAGCAUAGUAAAUAGUUUCUUAAUUGGAAGCUUGAAUGAAAGGAUGUAUGAGAAAUAUAUUUUAUUUGUUUAAAUAUUAAAAUUUAAAUUUAAAGUCAAAAUGCUUUAAUAAAUUAUUGGGACGAUAAGACCCUAUAGAACUUUAUAUAAGUUUGUUUUAUUAGAUUUUAUAUUGUAUAUUUGAUAAUAUUAACUUAUAUUUUGCUGGGGUGGUAACUAAAUAAUUUAACUUUAGUUUAAAAAUUCAUUAAUUUGUGUAAUUUUAGAUCCCUAUGUGUAUUCAUACUUAGGAUAAUAAGAUUAAGUUACCUUAGGGAUAACAGCGUAAUUUUAAUGGGGAGUUCAUAUCUAUAUUAUAUUUUGCGACCUCGAUGUUGAAUUAAGAAAAUUAUAAGAGGUAGAGCUCUUAGUAAUAAGUCUGUUCGACUUUUAAAUUCUUACAUGAUUUGAGUUCAAACCGGCGUGAGCCAGGUUGGUUUCUAUCUGAUAAAAUAUGUUAAAUUACACUUAGUACGAAAGGACCAGUGUAAAUUACUUAUAGGUAAUAAUUAUUUU
rnacentral:rRNA from 1 species